rnacentral:rRNA from 1 species
CCGUAAACCCUAAUAGUCACAAAACAAGACUAUUCGCCAGAGUACUACUAGCAACAGCUUAAAACUCAAAGGACUUGGCGGUGCUUCAUACCCCUCUAGAGGAGCCUGUUCUGUAACCGAUAAACCCCGAUCAACCUCACCAACCCUUGCUACUUCAGUCUAUAUACCGCCAUCUUCAGCAAACCCUAAAAGGGAACGAAAGUAAGCAUAACCAUCCUACAUAAAAACGUUAGGUCAAGGUGUAACCUAUGGGUUGGGAAGAAAUGGGCUACAUUUUCUAAGCUAAGAAUAUCCCCUAUAUCCACACGAAAGUUUUUAUGAAACUUAAAAACUAAAGGAGGAUUUAGUAGUAAAUCAAGAGCAGAGUGCUUGAUUGAAUAAGGCCA